GGAUUGAUGGCUUCUUGAAGGCUUUAAAUGAGCUCUUGAUUAGGGCUGAAAAGUUGGCUUGAGAAACCCUUUCUCUUUUGAAUGCUCUUGAAUGCUCUCUUGAAUGCUCUUCUUUUUCUUUUCAAUCUCUUUCUUUCUCUUCUUAAUCUCUUCUUUGUUUCCCACCUUUUGAAUCCUUUUAUAGCUUUAAAAAAUAGAGGAAAAUAUU
rnacentral:lncRNA from 1 species